UUUUUUUUUUUUUUUUGUAAGGGUGAGUGAAAUUGUAGGAUUUUGAAAUCUGAUAGUAUAACUUUCUUUAUACUAAGUUUAUUACUUUGUAGAUUUUGGUUGGUAUUUUUUUAAAAUAGACUUUUUACGUCUUGGUUUGGUUGUUUUUGAUGUUUCGUUUUAAUGGGUUUAAAUUGUGAAAUCUAAAAGUAUAAUGUUCUUUGUACAAAGUUGAUUACUUUGUAGGUUGUGGCAAAGAUUAAUUUUAUAAGAGUUACCUAAGCUUUGGUUUCAGUAUUUGGUCUUUUGGCCUUCAAUCCAGCCACUUUCCCUUACCCUUUCAGCCAAUUAUAUAUCAUACUUAAGCAUUACUCCUUCGAUGCCAUUCUACUUGGAACGUUUUAUCUCCUUCUCAUAGCUACUUUCCCUGACUCAAUUGGAGCAUGCUUUGGUCACAUUGAUUUCACCUUCUAAUUCAAGGUCCAUUACGUGGACAUGUUUAUUUCUUCCUACAGUAUAUAAAAGAUUUGGUGGUAGUUUGGAACUAAAAAUCUGAUGGUGGAAGGAAAAUAGUGGUCAUCAUCUCAGCAUAUGUUUGUUAAGCAAGAUUUGUAGCUGAGUACUACCUAAUAUCUCAUCAGUCAUCCGUCUAACACUUGAGCCAAGGCCCAAUUGCAACAUCUUACCUACUAUUUUUUAUUGUUAUUUUUGGUGAAGUGUAGUUACUUUUUUUCCCCUUUGGAUAAAUUAGUCAAUUGUAAGUAUUACAUUACUAUAUUUCAAUAUAUAUUGUUGUCAUUGUUGA